ACACAUACAACUCUGCAUGCAACGCAAUUAUCAUGGAAUAAUGUCAAACAUUACAAUUCACCACUGCGCAGAUGACAAAAGUAGUUUUUAUGAAGUGAAGAUAUGAAUUAUUUUAAGUUCAGGUUGCGUCACAAUUCUCUCUCUAUGCAUCCUCUGCUGUCUUUACUGGUACGCCAACUAACGACCCGACAACCGCGAAAACAAACAGCAGUAAGAUGGCCGACUCCCGCGCGCGGCAGGAAUAUCUGACAUUCGUUUGUUCCAUCGCCGUCGCUCCGAGCGACAGAGGCCAAUUACUGCAGCAGCCGCGUGACCUUUAGCAUGCAGAUGAGCCACACAGCGCACGUGCUAUGUGUGUGUGGCCGGUAAAUAUUAACGGGAACGGAAGAGCGGAGCCAUAAUGACGCGCGGAUCGUUAGAGGCUCGUUAGGGACCACGAGACGGAGGAUAUUAAAGAGCACCACUGAGCUUGCUGCUCAACAUUCAAAUACUGGGCCAGUGCUUGCUGUAAAAGAAACCCUCCACCAUCCCCAGCUCCACCUGUACAGAUCUGCUACGGAGUGAUUCAUUCUUGCAAUCUGGCCACCUGGUUUAACGAAGAACAUCUCAUGAAUUAUUCCACCGGACUACACUUGGAAUCUCCCGCCUUGCUCUCCAAAUCCUUGCUCGCAUCUUGCGUCUCUUUUAAAACUUUAUUUCCUCCACUUUUCUUCACCUCUAAUCCCCAUUAGCCUCAUUUUCAGCAAUGGACCGAAUACCUCUACCAGUGUUUUUGUUAAAAAUGACUAAAAGUUUCCUGUUUACCAUUUUGGGUGUGCCGUCUGAGAUCUUCCAUCGCUGGCACAUACACAAAAGCCGAACGAACGGCUCACAACAGUCUAUAAAAGUGUUAAC
ensembl:lncRNA